UUGUGUUUUAUCCAACUUUAUAUCAGGUUUGCUGUAAGAGUACGACUGAGAAGUUUGUGUAUCUUAAGAAGGAUGGCUUCCAAUGCUGUGGUCAUCACUACUACAACACUUCUUUGUGGACUUGCAACAGCCCAAGUUACAAGCUAAGCCCCAGGCUGACGAAACUGAACACCUGAAAGGGAAACAAAGGCAUUACUGAUCUUGAUUUAAAUCAUAAUUUUUAUGCUCUAGACAUUGCUUUAGCCAUUUAUUUCGUAUAAGCUCUUAUCUGAUUAAAUUUUUUUGUAUUUCUUUUCUUUAGGAUUCAUCGGUUAACCUAUGCAGACAAAAAAAUGGCUGCUGCAAUACUUUCGCCCAACACUAUGAAAACACCUGAAUGAAAUGCAUCUCUAAAACUAUAAAACAUGGAUGUCUUUAAUGUGACUGUAAUUUAUUUCCUAACCCUGAUUCCAGUCUUGCAUUCAGCAUUUAGUAGGUUCCCGCUGUCUGGUACCUCAUGCUACAUAAUUAACUUUUUAUCUGUCAUUUUGACAUAGCUAAGGACUUGUUUGCUUUCCAAAGCCAAAGAACCAGUUCUACACAAUGUUACAAAAAACACGAAUGCUUAACAAUUUUUUAACUGUAUUUGAAAUGUAUUCAGAGGAUUGCAACACAGGUUUAUAGUUUAUGUAUUCAAAUGAAUGUUUUUUUCUUUUCUUUUUUCCUUAUAUAUGCAAAUGCUUUCAUUUUGAGUGUGGUUUUAAACCAGCCAGUUGUUUUGAAUGUGCUUUAAAGCCAGUUGGAUCUGUAGGACUAAUGUUGCCUUUGAUAUAUCUUGUAACUCUAAGAUGGAAGUGACACCUACGAUAAGAUCACUAUGCUUUCAAGUCAGGAAACCGUGACAUCUGAUAAUUGUCCUGUGUUAACAACCAAAUAAUCAGAUAGCAUUUAAAAAUGUUUUUUUAAGGACAAGGAAGUGUUUACAUUUAAAUAUUUACAGUACUGUGUCUGCCACUGUUUACCAAGAUGCAUACCAAUCUAACUUUUACUUUGUUUUUACAUAGACGUAAAUAUAGAACAAAUAAGCUCUGAUCUGCUCAGU